CGAACGCUGGAGGCGUGCUUAACACAUGCAAGUCGAACGAUGAAAUGGAGCUUGCUCCAUGGAUUAGUGGCGAACGGGUGAGUAACACGUGAAUAACCUGCCCUUAAUUUUGGAAUAACCCAGGGAAACCUGGGCUAAUACCGGAUAAGUAAACCUGUGGCAUCACAUGGUUUUGGAAAGUUUUUUCGAUUAAGGAUGGAUUCGCGGCCUAUCAGCUUGUUGGUGAGGUAAUGGCUCACCAAGGCGACGACGGGUAGCCGGCCUGAGAGGGUGAACGGCCACACUGGGACUGAGACACGGCCCAGACUCCUACGGGAGGCAGCAGUGGGGAAUAUUGCGCAAUGGACGAAAGUCUGACGCAGCGACGCCUCGUGAGGGACGAAGGUCUUCGGAUUGUAAACCUCUUUCAGCAGGGACGAAGCGAAGGUGACGGUACCUGCAGAAGAAGCACCGGCUAACUAUGUGCCAGCAG
rnacentral:rRNA from 1 species